rnacentral:sRNA from 1 species
AUGGAUGGCCACAGUGUGCUCCAUCCCUGCCAUCUCUCUUUGUCAUCCUGUCUUGCCCGUGCUGCAGUGCCUUGCAGAUUUGUUUAUAUGCAUGACUUGGUCAUCUGUUGCUGAGAGCUGAGAGGAAAACCUCCUGACUGGCUGCCUGAUAGGGGCUGUAAAUCUCAAAUCCAGCAAUCGAACCCCAGUGGUACAGGAAUUUGAAAGUGUGGAACUGUCUUGCAUCAUUACGGAUUCGCAGACAAGUGACCCCAGGAUCGAGUGGAAGAAAAUUCAAGAUGAACAAACCACAUAUGUGUUUUUUGACAACAAAAUUCAGGGAGACUUGGCAGGUCGUGCAGAAAUACUGGGGAAGACAUCCCUGAAGAUCUGGAAUGUGACACGGAAAGACUCAGCCCUUUAUCGCUGUGAGGUCGUUGCUCGAAAUGACCGCAAGGAAAUUGAUGAGAUUGUGAUCGAGUUAACUGUGCAAGUGAAGCCAGUGACCCCCGUCUGUAGAGUGCCAAAGGCUGUACCAGUAGGCAAGAUGGCAACGCUGCACUGCCAGGAGAGUGAGGGCCACCCCCGGCCUCACUACAGCUGGUAUCGCAAUGAUGUGCCGCUGCCCACGGAUUCCAGAGCCAAUCCCAGAUUUCGCAAUUCUUCUUUCCACUUAAACUCUGAAACAGGCACUCUGGU